AUACGGAGGGUGCAGGCGUUACUCGGAAUCACUGGGCGUAAAGCGCGCGCAGGCGGUCUUUUAAGUUGGAUGUGAAAGCCUACGGCUCAACCGUAGAACUGCAUCCAAAACUAUUAGACUAGAGUGGGGGAGAGGAAGAUGGAAUUAGUUGUGUAGGGGUAAAAUCCGUAGAGAUAACUAGGAAUACCAAAAGCGAAGGCAAUCUUCUGGAACACUACUGACGCUGAGGCGCGAAAGCGUGGGGAGCAAACGGGAUUAGAAACCCGAGUAGUCC
rnacentral:rRNA from 1 species